rnacentral:lncRNA from 1 species
GUGUAUGUUGUAUCUUGUAGAUUUAAGCGCACAAUUUCCUUUGUUUGCCAGCACAACCUAACCAGCUCGAGGUUAAAUUUAGUGAUCCUCCAAGGGAUGUCUAUCUGUGGGUACAACAUUGUGUGUAGAGGAGUCUUGUUGCUACAACUAACUUCAUCUCAUCAGCAUGUUCACAGUACAAGUAGCCAUUGAGUCCAGUAUUGCAUGAUUGUUGUUGUAAUGGAUGUCAUGAAUAUUUUUGGACUAAUGUGUCAUUCAGUGUUGACAGUUGUUUCAUGGAUUUGUUUCUUAACUAAAAUGCACUUGAUUACAUAGCACUAUGCACUUAAAACCUGAAUAUGUGUCAUGAAUUAUGAUAUGAUAUAUAUUCUUGUUGCAUACAUUGGACUCCGCAUCCUUGCAUUAUGGAUAUGAUUAACUGGGAGGAUACAAAUAACACACAGUAGUUGUCAGUUAAACAUUCAUAUUGUAACAGGCUCUGUCUGUUCGUCAUGGUUCGUUUCUGGAACAUAAUUCAUAAACUGUUCAAUAUUUCUUUGUGAAACCUUCUAUACACACCAGGCAAAUGCUCCACUGGUGUCUGUAUUCGUGAGUAUUGUCAUUUUUUAGAUUAUUGGGUUUCCAGAAUAUAACUCCUCUUCAUUAUUGCUGAAUGAAACUUUGUAUGAUCAUCAAAAUCAUACAUCAUACAAUUCUGUAGGUAUUCUGGAUUAGAAUUAUAUUCUCACGGCAAGGGAGUUAACUGACUAUAAAAGUCCAGUUUCCACCUUUGCCAAACUAGGCUGGAAUUUCAUGGACGGUCGUUGCGCCACCAGUGGCUAUUAUGAGUUCUAUCCCUUUUAUGUCCCUUGUACUGACCAAAUUUGACCUUUCAUAUCUGUUGCAUUUGCUUCAAACAAAGAAAUUCAUGACCGUAUGUCACAAGUGUAUAGCUUUUCCACUGUUAAAUGUUGGGCAUGUUUAAGGCUGGUAGAAAAUGCCUUGAUUAUACCUCUAGGUCUUGAUGUCCCUCAACUUUCAUCAAUGCAGAUAUCAUCAAGGAGUCAGAAAAACUUCUAUUGUAAGACUGAUGUAUUACCAUCGCUGAACUUGAAGAAGACACAGGUCUGAGCAAUGAAUCCAUUGAAAUCAUUAUUCAUGAACAUUUACAGAUGAAUAAGAUAUCUGCUUUUUGGGUGCCAGCAUUUCUAAAUUCUGAUCUUAAGGAUAAAAGAACUGACGUUGCCAGAGAAAAUUUAGAGCUAAUUGGGGAUUUCAUCAAAUUCAUAAAGAGAUUAGUAACAAGUGAUGAAACCUUGGUCUACCACAAUGAUCCUGAGUCAAAAAAUCAAUCCAUGGAAUUGCAUCAUUUCACUUCUCUGGCACCAAAGAAAUUCAAGUCUUCCAAGAUCAGUGAAGAAUGUUAUGGCCACUGUAUUCUGGGAUGCAAUGGGUACAAUCCUCGUCGGUUACUUAGAAUGUCGAAGGACAAAUACCAGUAACAGUGCCUACUACUGCUCAUUUGCUUCACCACCUAAGAGAUUUUAUCAAAGAAAAGCGGCGAGGAAUGCUGACUGCUGGAGUUCUACUACUUCAUGCCAAUGCCUCUUCUCGCACCUCUCGACUUGCAAAGGCUGCUGUGUGACAAUGUUGGUUCAAAGAACUUCCUCUCCCUCCAUACUCGCCAUAUCUGGUACCAAGUGAUUUCCACCUGUUUCUAAACUGAAAGAACACCUUCGUAGAAAGCCCUGUGACGACAACAAUGACCUCAAAACUGUUGUGAAUGGACUUUUCAGGCUGGCUUCAGAAAACUUCUUGCUGACUGGAAUUGAAAAGCUUCACUAUCGCUAUGAGAAGUGUAUUGAAAAGCAGAGAGAUUAUUUUGAAAAAUAAAAUUAAAAAUACUUUCACAAUUGUUGGUUUAGUUUGUUUGGCUUCAAACCUUUUGACCAGCCCUCAUAAAAGAACGGGUUUUUCAUGACAAAGUGCAUCGGAUCACUUGAGCACCUUGAUUAAAAACAUAAUAAGAUUUUUGCGUCUGUCGCCAUGUUCGUUUAUGAGUCAGAAUUUUUAUUGGACUAUGCAUGAACUUGUUAGUCCAGAAAAAUAUAACUCAGAAAUUCCAGUCUAGUUCGGUUUUUAUGGUCAAAUAACUCCCUUGCCUCAGAAAGAUAGAUUAGAAAAGCUCCCCCCCAACUGCCUUGUUGACUGGUUUGAUUGUGUCACUGCAGCUUAUGAAAUUGCUGGGAUCACCAUCAUAUGGAUUGGAUAUUGCUUAAUCAAACAAAGCAUCAUACAUUCAUACAUAAUAUAUUAUAUUUAUCUGUUAUUAUGCUUAAUAAUUUCUAAAAUAAUAUACAAUCAAAUGUGCGCCUGGCAGUAGCUCCAGCAUUAAUGAACAUAUGUGUGAUGUGUCAGUGACUGUUGCAGGUCCAUGUGUCUGGCGGUCAAUCCAGCACCAGCAUUAAUGAACGUGUGUGUGAUGUGUCAGUGACUGUUGCACGCCCAUGUGUCUGGCAGUCGCUCCAGCACCAGCGUUAAUGAACGUGUGUGUGAUGUGUCAGUGACUGUUGCACGCCCAUGUGUCUAGCAGUCGCUCCAGCACCAGCAUUAAUGAACAUAUGUGUGAUGUGUCAGUGACUGUUGCAGGUCCAUGUGUCUGGCGGUCGAUCCAGCAUUAAUGAACAUAUGUGUGAUGUGUCAGUGACUGUUGCAGGUCCAUGUGUCUGGCGGUCGAUCCAGCAUUAAUGAACAUAUGUGUGAUGUGUCAGUGACUGUUGCAGGUCCAUGUGUCUGGCGGUCGAUCCAGCAUUAAUGAACAUAUGUGUGAUGUGUCAGUGACUGUUGCAGGUCCAUGUGUCUGGCAGUCGCUCCAGCACCAGCAUUAAUGAACGUGUGUGUGAUGUGUCAGUGACUGUUGCACGCCCAUGUGUCUGGCAGUCGCUCCAGCACCAGCGUUAAUGAACGUGUGUGUGAUGUGUCAGUGACUGUUGCACGCCCAUGUGUCUAGCAGUCGCUCCAGCACCAGCAUUAAUGAACAUAUGUGUGAUGUGUCAGUGACUGUUGCAGGUCCAUGUGUCUGGCGGUCGAUCCAGCAUUAAUGAACAUAUGUGUGAUGUGUCAGUGACUGUUGCAGGUCCAUGUGUCUGGCGGUCGAUCCAGCAUUAAUGAACAUAUGUGUGAUGUGUCAGUGACUGUUGCAGGUCCAUGUGUCUGGCGGUCGAUCCAGCAUUAAUGAACAUAUGUGUGAUGUGUCAGUGACUGUUGCAGGUCCAUGUGUCUGGCAGUCGCUCCAGCACCAGCAUUAAUGAACGUGUGUGUGAUGUGUCAGUGACUGUUGCAGGUCCAUGUGUCUGGCGGUCAAUCCAGCACCAGCAUUAAUGAACGUGUGUGUGAUGUGUCAGUGACUGUUGCACGCCCAUGUGUCUGGCAGUCGCUCCAGCACCAGCGUUAAUGAACGUGUGUGUGAUAUGUCAGUGACUGUUGCAGGUCCAUGUGUCUGGCAGUCGCUCCAGCACCAG